UACGGAGGGGGGCUAGCGUUGUUCGGAAUUACUGGGCGUAAAGCGCACGUAGGCGGCUUUGCAAGUCAGAGGUGAAAGCCCGGGGGCUCAACCCCGGAAUUGCCUUUGAGACUGCAUCGCUAGAAUUGUGGAGAGGUAAGUGGAAUUCCGAGUGUAGAGGUGAAAUUCGUAGAUAUUCGGAAGAACACCAGUGGCGAAGGCGACUUACUGGACACAUAUUGACGCUGAGGUGCGAAAGCGUGGGGAGCAAACAGG
rnacentral:rRNA from 1 species